rnacentral:rRNA from 1 species
UGAUCCUGGCUCAGGACGAACGCUGGCGGCGUGCUAAUACAUGCAAGUCGAGCGGACCUUUUAAAAGCUUGCUUUUGAAAGGUCAGCGGCGGACGGGUGAGUAACACGUGGGCAACCUGCCUGUAAGACUGGGAUAACUUCGGGAAACCGGAGCUAAUACCGGAUAAUAUAAGGAACCUCCUGGUUCUUUAUUGAAAGAUGGUUUCGGCUAUCACUUACAGAUGGGCCCGCGGCGCAUUAGCUAGUUGGUGAGGUAACGGCUCACCAAGGCGACGAUGCGUAGCCGACCUGAGAGGGUGAUCGGCCACACUGGGACUGAGACACGGCCCAGACUCCUACGGGAGGCAGCAGUAGGGAAUCUUCCACAAUGGACGAAAGUCUGAUGGAGCAACGCCGCGUGAGCGAUGAAGGCCUUCGGGUCGUAAAGCUCUGUUGUUAGGGAAGAACAAGUGCGAGAGUAACUGCUCGCACCUUGACGGUACCUAACCAGAAAGCCACGGCUAACUACGUGCCAGCAGCCGCGGUAAUACGUAGGUGGCAAGCGUUGUCCGGAAUUAUUGGGCGUAAAGCGCGCGCAGGUGGUCCUUUAAGUCUGAUGUGAAAGCCCACGGCUCAACCGUGGAGGGUCAUUGGAAACUGGGGGACUUGAGUGCAGAAGAGGAAAGUGGAAUUCCAAGUGUAGCGGUGAAAUGCGUAGAGAUUUGGAGGAACACCAGUGGCGAAGGCGACUUUCUGGUCUGUAACUGACACUGAGGCGCGAAAGCGUGGGGAGCAAACAGGAUUAGAUACCCUGGUAGU